rnacentral:rRNA from 1 species
UACGUAGGGGGCGAGCGUUAUCCGGAUUUACUGGGCGUAAAGCGCGUUAAGGCGGUCGGCAAAGUUGGUUGUGAAAUCUCAGGGCUCAACCCUGAAAUUGCGACCAAUACUGGUCGACUAGAGUGCAAGAGAGGAAGGUGGAAUUCCCGGUGUAAUAGUGAAAUGCGUAGAUAUCGGGAGGAACACCAGUGGCGAAGGCGGCCUUCUGGCUUGUAACUGACGCUGUAGCGCGAAAGCGUGGGGAGCGAACCGG